GUUCCUGUAGCGCAAUGGAUAGCGCGUUGGACACCUAAUUCAAAGGGCAUGGGUUCGAAUCGCACCGGGGAUG